AAUUUUAAUUUUUUUUUAGUUAUAUCAGUUUACAAACUGUUGUUAAGGGUAAUAUUGUCUUUGUACAGUCAACUAACGGUCAAUGUUAAAAUUAACUGACGGUAGAAGGUUUUUUACAAAUAAAUAAAUUCUCGCCAUCUACUUGCAACAAGUCUAAACCUCAGUGGAGGUUUUUAAAAAUUACCCCACCACUCGUCACUGGUCACUACAUGACCGCGAGACAAGACCGAGACCAAAAUUAAACUUCCAUCUUGUUUUCUAAGUCAAAUUAAACUUCUUGGAUAAUGGCUAAUUAUUAUUGUUGUUGUUGUUUAUACAUGUAUAUAUAAUUUUCUUUUUUCCUUUUUUUUUUUUGCUAAACAAGGAUAUCUUUACUUUAGUAAAAUAAAAAUGAUAAA
rnacentral:lncRNA from 1 species